ensembl:lncRNA
CCACAGUCAGGGGGACACCUGCGGGCCCUCGCCUUGAGUUUUUUCAACUGACAUCCCACUCUGUUGCCGCUGUGACACGCCUCCUCCUCAGCCUGUAUACCUUAUUGUUGGAAUACUCUGGCUUUACAUUUUGGUAACUGUCUGGCAAAUAAGAGAGAGGAGAGAGAAAAAUGUGUCUGGGACGCUACUUGGUCCCCUUGUGUUAACCAGUCAAGGAACUUCCAAUGAAACCUCCUUGCCUGCCAAUCACUUUGCAUAUACACUGCAUACUAAUAAAAGUCUUCGGUGCUCAAGUUUGUUGGAAGUAAACAAGAAAUACUAACACCGCUGGCAACAUAUCUUAAACCCUGCCAAGUAUUUUGUGCAUACACUGCAUAGUGAAGUAAGUGGGUGCCUUAUUCUGGUGUGAGUUAACAAGAAAUGCAAACACCACUCGCAGCACCUUUAAACCCUUGUGCCCCUGGUUUAGCCUUGCAGAUGGAGGAGCUUGGCCCUCUUCAUUAGCCCCGGAGAGCACUUCUGAUUCCUCCACUGUCUCAUUAAAGCUGCCGUUGGCCCGCCAGGCAGUGUGAUUGCAUUCACACCGGCUCCUUUGUCUGCGUUCACGCCCCGCGCUCGUUCUUUCAGUGCUGUUGCAUCAGUGCCCUUUUGUGUGUCUCCACAGCAGUCCUGAUUACCAUCAUCUGUAGACUGCUGCUUCGCACGGCACUUUUUUGUUCCUUGCUCCGGUUUGCAUCAGUAAACAGCGGCCACCCGUCGAGUCCACGUUCAGUUUGAAUCCGUCAUUGGUAAUUUCAUGGAAACCGGCGAAGGCAACAGGCUUUUAUAGAGUUUUAUAACAGCCACACUGUUUGCCCUUCAACAGUUGCUAAGGACUAGAGAAGCGUUUCUGACUUCCCAACUAAGCUUGAGUUAUUCCUCUACACCAAGACUUUACCCCAUGUUGUUUGUUUUCUUUUGCUUUCACUGGUUUGAACAGUGUGUUGUUAUGUGCAGAUUAAGUGAACGGCAUUAUCCAGAAUGCACUAGGCAUACGGGCUGUAGACGUUAUGGAUACAUGUUGAAAGUCGCUCCAGUAAAGUUUGAGCAAAACCCACGCUUACCGUGUGAGAGUAGUAUUUUAAAAUGCACUGCAUGGCAUAACAAACAGAAGCAGAGGUCUGGUCACUCAUCUCCCGGCCUGUAGCCACCCUACUCAGCCACUCUUGGCAGGUUGGGAAAGGUGUGACUUUGCCUCUGCCUCCCUCUCCCUUCCCUCUCUUUGCACAGCCUGCUUGGGUAUUCAGUGGCGUCCUCCCUGAUUGAUGAGUCGGCCGGGGGAGCGGAAAUCUAUCCCCAGGCUGCAGGCGAGGGCCCGGUGAUGGAUGAUUCCUCGGAGGUCUGUGCCGGACUGAUGGGUCACACUGGCCAGGCCCUGCCCACCGGGCUUGUGAUGGAUAUGAGAACAUUCUUUAGGAGAGGUGGCAGCUCCGCCCAGUCAGAUGAGAGAGAGAAGCAGGAGAUUGACAGGGCUGAAGGAGCCGGUGUGAUGGAGGGUCAUGCAGAAGGAGAGGCUGAGGCAGAGCGUCAGAGAGAGGAAGAGACAGACCAAGCAGUGAGCAGCUGACGCUUUCGGGGAGGUGUUGCAGUUUCUGCGUGGAUGCUGCUGAAAGUGUUAGCUGAGUCCACGCCCCCCACACUUCUACCCUGCCACAACAGCAUACACUCAGCACCUCUUCACACUCUUAACCAGCCAAUGCACACGUGACACUCCGGAAAGAGCACACCACCCAUGGUGCAAAGCAGACACACCCUUAAUAAUGUUCUGUGUAAAGUGUGUGUGUGUGUGUGUGUAAGUGUGUAAGGCAAAUCAGUCACGCCCUGAGAUGCGUACAGUGUCUGUGUGUGAAGUGAUGUGAAAUUAAUAUAAUUUGUGUUUUUAUUACCAUUGUGCAGAUGGAUCACGGACCAGCAGUGCUUUCGUGUAGACUUUGGUGUGAAAACAUCCCCUCCACGAUGACUUGAGCCCCACUGGGGAUGAAGACUGGGCCCCUUCCAGCGAGCCAGUUAAAAGCUGACGGUUCAUUUUAUAAACACAUAAUGGAUGUCUCUCCAUUGACCCACUGCACUAUUUAUGAAGCCCAGGCAAUCCCCAACUCAAUUUUCUCAAUGCAGCAAAUAUGCAAAUGAAAGUCUGACAGAAGUUAUUGUAUGCGUCCACCAUUCUGUGCGGUACUUCAGCGCAGUAGCUCCUGUCUGCCAGCAAGUCAGAGUGAAGAUGAAUGAACAUGGAUUAAAUGUCAGCACACAGAAGACAGACCCUCGACCAGGGCAGUGGUAUGCAUCAUCACCUGCCUUAAUCUCCAUGGUGCAGAGUAGAGAGGCCGCUCGCCGCCCAGAUUAACGCAGAGAGAAAUACUCUGAGAUGUCUGAGGCACUAAUCGUGGUUAGCCUCAGGAUCAGUUCUCUUUUUUUUUGUUUUAAAGGAGAUUUUAAUAGCGCUCUUCUCUUGUCCUGGAAACUGCUGCCCUGUGAGCGAGCCUUUGUCCCAGCAUCUGGCUAGUGUUCAGUGCUCGAGCCAAAACAGAUGUCGGGAGGUCGUUCAGAGAUGCACUCAUUUUGUCGUUUGUUAACUGAUUUUGUUUAUGCUGUAUUAUGUUUGUGCUUCCAUGUACAAAUGUUAGAGGAAAUAAAUAAUGAUGACGGUCAAACACGCACACACAUAUACGUGCAAGCAUUCAAAAUGGCUUAGUUUGUUAUUUCUGCCUGUGACAGAUGGAAAUUCUGCUCCUGACAAAAGAUGAACUGACAUUCCAGCAUUACAAUAAUUUCCUCCAUGCACAGCCAGAAGUGUAGAACAAAUCAGAACAAAUCUGUUUGUUUGUCUCCUGCUCCAUUGAAGGAACAUCCCUUUUUCCCUGCUCUUCCUUUUACAUGCCCGGAGGUGAGCCGCGUGUCCUUUGGGACGAUGACCAAUCAAACGAAUCUCCCUGGUGAGGAGAUGAAACAUAAAGGAUUUGCUCUGAGGGCUGAAGUCAAGCCUGGCUUCAUGUGUCUGCAGGCUAGCGGCUGUCUCAGGAGGCACCACUCUCACUAGACUCACUUCUUGAUCUUUCUGAGCUCUUCACUGGCUCAGAUGUCCCCCACCCCCAAACCCCAACUCCCUCUGGUGCGAUAUGACUUCCCUCUUUGGUCGCCAUUGGCAAACCCUUGUAGAUCAUAACAAAGGCUUCGCCAUGAGGCCCAAGCCCCACUUCAUUUGAAUUUACAUCAUGUGCAGCCUAUAUGUUUGGAUAAAGUUUAUCUGAAUUUAAGUUACCGUGAGGAGGCCUCCAGCUACCCUCCAUUUGCACACCCCUAGACGGUGUGCUUAGCUCACUGCAGUAGCUUCGGGCCAUUGGUUCCUAAUGGGAGCCGACUGCAAUAUAACAUAUUUAUUCUUAUUUAUUCAUCUGGCAGAUGCUUUCAUCCAAAGCAACUUGCAGUGACUUGACUCGCAUAGUAAAAAUGCAUGUCUGCGUCUGCAUGUGUGCUCAUUGGGAAGGAAACCUGUGGUAUUUUUGUUGUUAGCACGUUGGCUUAGCGGUUAAGCUAGAGGAGCUAUGGGACCAUGUUACGCCUCCAUUCCAUCAGUUCCAGUUUUCCACUAGCAUGUUCACUCCUGUCCUUGGAUGAGUGCAGAGAUGUGUGCUUGGUGUGCUUGUUGCCCAUGGUCACAUGCGCCAUGAAUGCGAGAAGAUCAUCAGCAGGCUUCCGGUGUCAGGAGCGACUGCUGCUCUCCCUGUGGAAAUAAUGCAGGGCUCUCAAGUGUCACGCAUUGAGCGUGACAGUCACUCAUUUCGGUCUUUAAUCACGCACUCCCGCCACACAUCGUAUUUCUCACGCUGAAAAAAAAACUCUAGGCUAUUUAAUGUGCCGCAGCGCGCUAACAUGACCUGGCCGCGCUGCCCUCACCAUGGAGGAAUCAAGCACGUCUCCCCGAAUCCCCUGGAGUUCUGCCGUGAGGUGCCAAUUAUCAGCCAAUCAAAAAAAAAAAAAAUAGCCAAUCAGAAAAAAAGUGUCUUUUGUAUCUGUUGUAUCUGGGUAAGAUUUAAUCCAGCAACCAAUGAAAAUAAAGCAUCCUGGAAUUGCGCGCGACUGAUCUUCCGAAAGUUUCGUUAACCUGAGGAAACCACU